GCACGUGCACGACGUCAAGCACACCAUGGGCGGCCUCAUGCGCGACUCCCCCACGCACAUCGGCUCCCGCACCAGGGCCGACGGCGACGGCAUCUCCCUCUUCUCCGCCACCAACGUCUGGAUCGACCACAUCUCCAUGUCCAACUGCGAGGACGGCCUCAUCGACGUCGUGCAGAGCUCCACGGGGAUCACCAUCUCCAACUGCCACUUCACCAACCACAACGACGUCAUGCUCUUCGGCGCCAGCGACUCCUGGCCGCAGGACCAGAUCAUGCAGAUCACCGUCGCCUUCAACCACUUCGGCAGGGGCCUGGUGCAGCGGAUGCCAAGGUGCCGCUGGGGCUUCUUCCACGUUGUCAACAACGACUACACGCACUGGCUCAUGUACGCCAUUGGCGGCGGCGACGCGCCAACCAUCAUCAGCCAGGGCAACCGCUACAUAGCACCACCAAACAUCGCCGCCAAAGUGGUAAAGAUCUUCUUCUCUUUCUUUCUUUCUUUCUGAUGAAGCCAUGCCAUGCCAUGCCAUCCCACCCCCUGCCGUUCGAGCAGAUCACCAAGCACUACGCGGAAGAAGGCGUGUGGAAGAACUGGGUGUGGCACACGGAGGACGACCUGUUCAUGAACGGCGCCAUCUUCAAUCCGUCCGGCGGCGCCCCCAAGCAGGUCGACACCAACGAGUGGGUCAAGCCCAAGCCAGGAACCUACGUUACAAGGCUCACCCGCUUCUCCGGCACACUGUCCUGCUGCACGGGCAAGCCGUGCUGAAGGCCGGCCGGUGGGCGUCAGAGGCUGCUUCUUCUAGCUCAUGGCCUGGCCAUGCCAGGUCGCGAUGGCUGCGUUUCAUUUCAUGGAAGAAAGCAAGGAUGGAUCACAGGUUGUCGUUCUGCUAAUUAAUCUACGUUUGCCUUCAAGUACUGUGUUGUGGCAUUGUUACACAUCACAGUACAGUUUGGUCAUUUUUUUUCCCACAGAGGAAGUAGGGAUUGAUUUAAUCCCACACGCGUGUAUCUACGUAUACAGUUUGUAUAACAUGAACCACCUCUGUUUGCGAUUGGUCUAAAAAUAAAUAUAAUACUUAUAUAUUGAAUUGUUUUGCAAGAGUUCUGCUGCUUUAAUUUUCAGGGUGUCUUUUUUUUUCACAUUUCAUUCGUUUGAUGAAAUUUCAUCUCAUGACUCACGAGUGAAGCAUUGAUUGAGUACCCGCGAAACAAACGACCCCUCAUAAAUUUGCCAAACGGACCGUAACACGAAGAGCGCAGACAAUUCAUACCUCGAUUGUGAAAUUAUUCAAAAGACCUGACCCAAAGGUUCUCAUUGCUGAACACUGGCUUCAUGUUUUUGUUCUCUCUAGAACCCUUUCUUCAAUGCGUGGACUCUGCUUCCCAAAGAUUGUGGAAAUCUGUUUAUUGCUGCACCAGGUGUCCUGCAAAUAGAGAAUUCAUAGGAUUUAGGACUGAUUUGGUGGACAUGGAUCACGAGGGGAUCAAUGGGGAGUAAUUUUCUUGUUAUUCAAUUUUGAAUAGCAAAGGGAUUACUCUCUAUGGGUCCCCUCGUGAUCUCUAUUCACCAAAUCAGUCCUUAGGAUGUGUUUGGUCUCGGGACAGCCGGGACAACCACGUCCCUAUCGUCUUCUAUCAUCCCUAAAAUUUUGAGGGACAGUGAGGCACAACAAUAGGAUAAUCUUGUCACAAUCCCUAAAUCUGAACCAAACAACCUUAUCUAAAUGGUCAACCAAACACACCUUUAGUUUCUCGAGGAUAUAUUACUCUCAUCGAACGGUGCAAAGAAUCAAGGUGGUUCUACUUAAAAAAGUGCAGAACAAAUAUAAGAAAAAUUCUUCAAGCAAGCAAACAAACUGAUUCCGAACAGGACCCUUGAAAAUUUUAUCUGAACUUUUUUCCUUCUUUCAGCCGCCUACCAAAUUGUUAACCAAUGUUGGAUUCCGAAGAAGAAAUAGUAGCUCCAUAGGACCUCUUCAAUAGUUCAAUCUCUUUGAGUUGGAUGUAAUACAUACUCCAGGAGAAUGCUCGAUAAGAUCAGUAUGUCAAGAAUAACAUAAUGGAACACAUCAAGCCAUGUCUACAUAUGUUCCUCAAUUGGUUCAAUUCCUUCAUUCAUACAAAAAAAUGGUUAACUGGAAAGGCUCCUAAGAUGAAAAUAUUUUUUGGAUUAUAAUAUGGGUACAUUGUUAUCUUAAGAUGUUUGACUCUCUGUUUCAUUCCAACAACAAAUUCUCUUAAUUCAUCUAGACUCAUACCACGUGCAUACUCAACCUUAUGUAGACAUUCAACUACAUGAUCACUAGUACCUCACCAUGCAUUACCUUCUUCAAAUAAAUACUUGUUAUUAUAUAAAUUAAGGAGUCUUCUUUCCUUUUUCGUGAAUUGACUAUAAAUAUAAAAAAACUUACAUCAUCAAGAAGUGUAUAUAUAUAUAUAUAUAGAAGGUAAUGGAAGUACAGGGCUUCCAUUAGUAUCGGAUGCUCCAGCCAAGUAUACUCCCACGGUGUACGGUCGCUGGUUCUGGCUCGGGCGAUUUCAGCGUAAAUGUGAAUCAAAAUAGUGUAAAUGAGUACGAAUUUUAGCGUAAAUCGUAGAUUUGUUUCGUAACAGGGAAUGUGGUCCGAAAUUAUGGUGUGAAAAUAGCGCACGUUCAAUCGUGCGUGGGUUCUGACUCGGUCGGAUUUCAGCGUAAAACGUGAACCAUGACAGCGUAAAUGAGUUCGAAUUUUAGCGUAAAUCAUAGAUCUAUUUUGUAACUACGAAUAGGGCUCGAAUUAUGGCGUGAAAAUCGCGUGCGUCCGAUCUUGCGUGGAUUUUGCCUCAGGCGGCGUAAAACGUAAACCAAAACAUUGUAAAUGAGUACGAAUUUUAGCGUAAAUCAUCGAUUUGUUUUGUAACGACGAAUGUAGCCCUAAUGUAUCUCUCUUCGCACAAGGUUACCAGCUGAAAGGGAAAUAGGGUUAAUCUUUCCUAUGAUUAAUUUUGGUGGUUGAUCGUCAACUGUAACGCCCCGAAUUUUGGAGUUGAUUUUUUUCUUUUCUUCACUUGCCAAAUUCGGGCGUUACCCUUUCCUUUUUCCUUUCCCCUCGCUAAGCCUUGACCUUUUCUAAAGUUGUAGCGAGAUUCGGCUUGAGAUCUCGUGUAAAGCAAAACCCUAGAAAAUACUUUCUUUUGUUUGUUGCAUCAUGCCGAACCAUGCAUUUGUUUUGAUUGAGUGAAACUGUGAAAGCAUUCAUCUAGAAAAUAGAUUUUAAAAGGAAAAAUCUUUUCUUUUCCUCUCUCCCCUCCCCUCCUCCCCUUUCAGCCCAGCCUGGGCGGCGGCCCAGCUCGCCCCUCGCGCGCGGCCCAGUCGGCCUCGGUGGCCCAGCUCGCCCCCCUUCCCUCCCUCCGCUUUGGGCCCAUGGCGGCCCAGCCGCCCCUCCCCCGCUCCCCUCGUGCGCGCCCCACGCCGCGGUUACGCCGCCGCCGCCUUCCCCCCUACGGGCCCCACCCGUCAGCCCCCCUCCCCAAACCCUCUCUCUCUCUCUUCUCCCCUGCACGAUCCCUCCUCUCCCUCACGCUGCUCCCCUGCACGACCCCGGCUCGCCCGACGCCGCCGCCCGCCGUCCGCCUACGGUGAGCCCCUGGCCUUCCUUCCCUCUCCCUCCCUCUCCCUUCCCCGCCCCCUCCUCUUCUUGCUCGGCUCGGCCGCGCCCUUCCCUCGUCUCCGCGCCCACCGGCCAUGGCGGCUGGCCCUACGCGCGCCCGCCCCGCCCGGCGCGGCUCCUCCGCCCCCACCCCCUCUUGCGGCCGCGGUGCCGGAGUUCCCCCCGCGCUCGGCGCGCGGCCCCGUCCUGGCGCGCGGCGGCGCUCGCCUCGCGGCCUCGCCCGCGGCCAUGGCGGCCCGGCGCCUGCGCCCGGCCCCGGCUCCCCUUCCCUGCGGCUCGGCCGCGCCCGCCCGUCCCCAGCUCGCCUGCCCUGCCCCGACGCGGCGCCCUCGCCCGGCGUCCCCGCCCUCGCCCAUCCCCGGUCCCGACCUUGGCGCGCGGCCGGAGCUCGGCCAUGGCGGCCAUGGCGCGUGGCCGUGGCACGCCCAGCCCCCUUCCCCGCGGCGCGGCGCGCUCGCCCCCGCCCGGCCUCGACGCGCCCUCCUCCUCGAAUUCGCUCGCCCCGGCGGGCUGCCCGCGGCGGCCCGGCGCGGCGUGCUCGCGCCGCCCGUCCUCGGUCCCGGCCGCGGCGCCCGCCCGUCCCCGGCGCGGCCUCGGCGGCGCUCGUGGAGCCCCGGCGCGGCCCGUGCACGCACGGUGCCCCCGGCGAGCUCGCCGCACCCGCGGCUCGCGGCCGUGGCGUUCGGCCCGACGUCCUCGGCUCGCCCGCCCCUGCGCAGCGUGGCCCCGGCCCGGCGCGACUUCGGCUCGCGCGGCCGUGGUGCCCCUACGUAGCGCGGCGCGUGCGCGGCUCGGCCCCGGCGUGUGCGUGACCCGUUCGCGACGCGUCAGCGCGGCCUUGCGCGUGCGUGCUCGCAUGGUGCAUGGUGCUUUGGCGUGGCUCGUCGUGUCCUCGACGCGACGCGUAGCGCCCUGCCACGUUCGCGACGCACUCGUCUACCCCCCUAGACGUGCCUGUCUACCCUCCCGUGUAAUCCAUGCGUAGUGAUCGCAUUAUUUAAUUCAAUAAAUGGAAACUCAAUUUAGAAAUCAGUUACGUUAGUUAAUUCAUGUAGUUAAUCAUCUACCUUAUUUAAUGUUGAUCAACUAAAAAUGGUUAUGAUUCUAUUAGUGCAUGUGACUAAUCCUUGUUAUUGGAACUAAGUGGAACUAGAGCACGUAAUGGCUAGUUAUGCGUCUACCCGUAAUACGCCUUGAGUAUAGCUUUAACCACUGCGAGACCUUUCUUCUCUUUCAAGCCAUGGCAUAUGCAAUAUCGUAUGUUAUACUCUAUGCAUAUUUAAUCUAUUUGUUCUCUUGUAUGAUGUACUGUUUGUUUCCUAAUUCGAAUGGAUGGAUGUAUGUAUGCUUGCGCUCGCAUAGAGAACGAUCCGGUUGAGGAGCCCGAAGAACUCGCAGGAGAAGCCCCUGAGCAGCAGUCGGUUGGUGGAGGCAAGUGUCCCUUGACCUAUCUCUGUCCUAUACAUACUUUAAUUCACCUCCCGCAUUACACAUUUAUACCUAAGGAUUGACUAGCUUUUGUUAUCCAUGUCCUUGUUUACCUAAUUGGGUCAGAUUAUUUUAUUGCUUAGUCUUAUGCUAUUGCUCAACUCUAAUCAAUGAACAUGAUGAGAAUUAUCAAUGAUACGCUGUUUUCCCUUCUUUUAUUAUGAUAUUAUACUUGUGGCCUUCAAGGGGGCUCGAGCGGUUUCUCGAGUGCCUCUCCGUAAGGACCUGUUCGUUGGAUGACCGCCCAGGAAAACAGUGCAACCAUGAGGGUGGAAUGGGGUGCCCUUAGCUGAAUAAUUAGAAGAUCCGGGGUGUAGUUCGCUUAGCCGUUGUGCCGUUAAUGGGGCUCGGUGUAUGCGGCUCGCUCUGCCAAGCUUGGGUUUGCCCCCUUGGGGAGGAGUGCGGUGCAUUUAGGAAACCUAACGGGCGGCUACAACCCCGGGGAAUCUUUGUAAAGGCUACGUAGUGAGACCCUGCCUACUCACCUUGGGAGUGUUCAAGGGUCCGUACAACCCGAGGCAAAAAGGGAAUCACGGCUUGUGGGUAAAGUGCACAACCUCUGCAGAGUGUUAGAAAACUGAUAUAUCAACCGUGCUCGCGGUUAUGAGCGGCCAAGGGAGCUCCAGCGAUUAGUGGUACUUGAUCAGAGAUAUUCGGUUUGCAGGUGGCAAUGAGAUUGAUGGUUCUUGGUAUUGGCUCUGGUAAUGGUAAGUGGUACUCUUCCGUUUGGAAAGGAGUACAUUUGGGUUAAUAACGUGAGUUAAUUCUAAAACUUGGCUCUCUACUAGUAAUAAUAAUCUGACCAACUAAAAGCAACUACUUGACUUCCCCCACAUAAAGCUAGUCCACUACAGCCAAAACAGGAUACUUGCUGAGUAUGUUGAUGUGUACUCACCCUUGCUCUACACACCAAACCCCCCAUUCCCAGGUUGUCAGCAUUGCAACCACUGCUCAGGAGAAGAUGAAGUUGUGGAAGGAGACCACCAGGAGUUCCAAGAUUAUGACGAGUUCUAGGCGUGAGUUAGCGGCAACCCCCAGUCGGCUGCCUGUGAAGGCCGCGUUUAUCUACGUUUCGAUUUUGCACUUUGAUUAUUGUAAAGACUAUGUGGAUGUCUCAGACAUAUGAUGUAAUCGACUAUUAUUUCCCUUUUUAAUACUAUUCGAGCACUGUGUGAUGAUGUCCAUGUUAUGUAACUGCUGUGUACGUGAAUUGCUGAUCCUGGCACGUACAUGGUUCGCAUUCGGUUUGCCUUCUAAAACCGGGUGUGACAUCAACACAAACACAUGGACUAACUAGUUUGCCAAGAAUUCAUGUAUUAUAGGUGCUUUUAGGUUCAACACAAACUAAUAAACAUUCAAGUUAGGGAUCCAAUUCAAAAGGAGCAAAGGAACCAAGUGUGAUGUGGUCUGGCGCACUGGACUGUCUGGUGUGCCACCGGACAGUGUCCGGUGCACCAGCGUACCGUGUCCAAGCAGCACUCUCGGGUUUCCACAGGCGCGCUUCGCUAUAAUUCACUGGACAGUCCGGUGUGCCACCGGACUGUCUGGUGAACCAACGGGCAACGGCUAUCUGCGCGCAACGGUCGACUGCAAAAGUACCUAACGCGUGAACAGUGCAGCGACAGAAGUUAGAGCCGCAAAGUCAGAGGGCACCGGACUGUCCGGUGCCGCAAGGAGACAAAGCUCCAACGGUCGACAUCGCUCCAAACCCUAACGAUUGGGGGUGAAGGCGGCGCACCGGACAGUGAACAGUGCCUAUCCGGUGGCGCACCGAACUGUCUGGUGCGCCCAUCGCCAGCAGCCUCCCCAACGGCUACUUUGGUGGUUGAGGGCUAUAAAUACCCCAACCACCACAACUCCAAGCAUCCAAGAUUUCUGAAAAUCCCAUUCAAUACAAGAGCUCUAGCAUUCACUCCUAGUCACAAUUCAAAAGAUCAAAGCCUCUCCAAGUUCCAAAUUGAUCACAAAUACUUAGUAACUUGUGAGAGAGUGUUUUCAUGUUAUUUUGAGCUCUUGCCUCUUGGAUUGCCUUUCUUCUUUCUCAUUAUUGUUCUCAAAUGACUUGUAAUCAAAGUAAGAGACACCUAAGAGUAUGGUGGUCCUUGCGGGGUCUUAGUGACCCGUUUGAUUAAGGGAAAGGCUCACUUGGUCUAAGUGACUGUCUGAGAGAGGGAAAGGGUUGGAAUAGACCCGGUCUUUGUGACCUCAACGGGGACUAGGUUCUUUGAAACCGAACCUCGGUAAAACAAAUCAUCGUGUUCAUCCGUUUGAUUCUCAUUUGAUUUGUUUUCCCCUCUCUCCCGGACUUGAUUUAGUUCUAACGCUAACCCUGACUUGUAGUGUGUGUUUAAAGUUGUAAAUUUCAGAUUACGCCUAUUCACCCCCCUCUAGGCGACUUUCAAUUGGUAUCAGAGCCUGGUGCUUCAUUAAAGUCUAACAACUCGAAGUGAUGUCGGGAGAUCACGCCAAGAGGGAGAUCGUGAUCGGCGACAAGCCCGCAAGCUCGAGGAGAACCCUUUCAAGGGAGUCCAGCAACAAGCACAAGGAGGGAUCCUCUUCCUCCAUCAAGUCGCAUCAGAGAGGUGACAAGAAGAAGAAGAUGAAGAAAGUGGUCUACUACGAGACCGACUCUUCGUCACCCUCCACAUCAUCAAGCUCCGACUCGUCCGUCGCUUCUAAGCGCCAUGAGCGCAAGAAGUAUAGUAAGAUGCCCCUACGCUAUCCUUGCACUUCUAAGUGCGCUCCAUUACUUUCUGUUCCCUUAGGCAAACCACCAUAUUUUGAUGGUGAAGAUUAUUGUAUGUGGAGUGAUAAAAUGAGGCAUCUUCUAACCUCACUUCAUGAAAGCAUAUGGGACAUAGUUGAAUUUGGAGCGCAGGUACCACAGGUGGGGGACAAAGACUAUGAUUCGUUUGAAGUCACCCAAAUCCGGCACUUUAACUCCCAAGCAACUUCUAUAGUCCUCGCCUUCUUGUGUCGAGAGGAGUAUAAUAAGGUGCAAGGAUUAAAGAGCAUCAAAGUGAUUUGGGACGUGCUCAAGACCGCACACGAAGGAGAUGAGGUGACCAAGAUCACCAAGUGCGAGACAAUUGAGGGCAAACUCGGUCGAUUCGUCCUCAACAAAGGAGAAGGUCCUCAAGCAAUGUACCACCGGCUAAAGACCAUGGUCAAUCAAGUGUGCAACCUCGGGAGCACCAAAUGGGACGACCAUGAAAUGGUCAAGGUUAUUUUUAGAUCCCUCGUAUUUCGCAAUCCUACUCAAGUUCAAUUAAUACGUGAGAAUCCUAGAUAUAAACUAAUGUCUCCCGAGGAAGUUAUUGGCAAGUUUGUGAGCUUUGAACUUAUGAUUAAAGACUCCAAACAUAUUGUCAACUUGGAGCAAGGUGCCACCUCCACACCCGAGGUGCAACCCAUCACAUUCAAAGUGAUGGAAGAGAAGAAGGAGGAGUCUACACCAAGUAGGCUCCCAAUCGACGCCUCCAAGCUCGACAACGAGGAAAUGACGCUCAUCAUCAAGAGAUUCCACCAAAUCCUCAAGCAUAGGAGGGGGAAGGACUACAAACCCCGCUCCAAAAGGGUAUGCUACAAAUGUGGUAAGCCCGGUUAUUUCAUUGCAAAAUGUCCAAUGUCAAGUGAAAGUGACAGGGACGAUGACAAGAAGGGGAAGAAGAAGGAGAAAAAGAGGUACUACAAGAAGAAGGGCGGUGAUGCCCACGUGUGUCGGGAAUGGGACUCCGAUGAGAGCUCCACCGACUCCUCCUCCGACGAGGACGCCGCCAACAUCACCUUCAACAAGGGCCUCC
rnacentral:lncRNA from 1 species